UGUUUUUUUAAUGUGCCCUUGUCUUGCCUAUUUUUCUUACUCCCCGACCUUAGAGAACACGUCUUAAUAAUUUUAAAAACCAUAUUUAGUGCCCUAAACAUAUAAAUGUUUCAUUUAUGUGGUACUGAACUAAAUUUUGGAAAAAUGUAAACAAAAUAAAUGUGUAUGUAUGUAUGUAUGUGUGUAUAUCUGUAGUUUUUAAUGAUGUGUAAUAUCAUAUGCAUUAUGGGAAAUAGUUAUUUCUUUAUAAAAAUUCAUACAAAGGUAUAAAGUAUGAACUAUGAAGUAUGAACUAUGUAUAAAGUAUGAACUAUGAAUAUGAACUACUUCAUAUCUUGUAUGAAGUAAGCAUGCAAUGCCAGCUCUUUGAAUAUUGGACAAAAAAAAUAUUAUGGUGGAUAAGACACUAUUCUACAAAGUAUGUUAUUGCUCUAUAUGAAUAUAUAAACCAAGAUGACUUUGGGUUCUGGCUCACAGUUCAUAAAAGAGACAACUAACUGACCCCUCUGCUUCUGAUGGAAAACCAGCGAAUGAAGGAAAAAUCCCAAACUAAGGCUUUUUGUAGUAUAAGGAGGUUAAACAAAAACCUGACUACUUUCUGUCAAUCCAAUGCUACUUUUUCUCAGCCCUGUAUGAGUGUUUCUGAUCAUUGCUUUGUAGAAAUUCACUUUGCCCCUCAGUUUGGUAAUUAACCUAAUUAUCUUACAUUAAUUAGCGACCUCUAGCCUCGUCAUUUUCACAGCACUGCUGUAGGUGAGGUCACUGACCCCUUUCCCCAGGUUUCUGCCUACAGAAAUGAAGUUCUAAUUUCUCAGAGGUAUUGGGAAAAUGCCUCUUGCCAUUCUUACUUACCUGAGUGGUGGCAUCAGGAGAAAGAACUGGGUACAUUUAUCAGCAGUUAGAGAUUUUCUUUCUCUGCCGCCUUUCUGUUCCUCGCUAAGAUGUCCACUCCUGGGUGCACCUACCUGCAGCCUGCAGGGGUGCUUAAAUAUGCUGGAGGGAGGGCAGCGGGAAGCUAUUACUAUUCCUGUCUGAUCAACCACCUUCCCGCCGCAUCACUGUGUCCUGCGAAACUAAAUUAUGUCGUAUUUUCAGCCUUCAAGAUUCACGCAUUUGCUGUCUGACGAUGGUGCACCUUUUGUCACAAAGGCCACCCAGCAUUGAUUCAACCAUUCAAGAACCGACCUGGAAGCUUUUUCACAAAGGAAAACAUCCCAGCGCAUCUUUCACAAAAGACAACAAGCUGCUUAUUAAAUGACUCCUAGACCUGCCAUGUCCCACCAAAUGGUGGUGACCAUGACUUGAUAUUUAGUCUCUACAACUUGACUGAGAAGUCAAUCAGAAACAUUAGCGAGUGAUCCCAGAUGCUGCAGGUCCCACACAAAAUGCCUGUCAACACCUCUAAAUGUCUUUCCACCUCUAUUCCCAUCUUCACCACCGGGUCAUGACGGGGGAUAGAAGAAUGCCACCCAGCAGGGUGACAAAUACUAUAUGUCAGUGUGACUGCCGUCAUGUAAUCUCUCCAAAGACACAGCUGAACCAGAUUUGGGAAAACUAAUAUUUACCAGCUGGCCAGGAGGGCACUUUGGAGACUGUUAACCUGUGUCCCCUGACUGAUGUAGGUCAUAUCUGUAGCGAACAACAACUACAAUACUCUCCUUCCAGGGGCACCUGUGUGCCCCUGGGACUGAACUACUUCUGGGGAAGCUACAUAUUAACUUGCAUGAACUUGCCCCAGUGUGCACCUAAGGAGUGAUCAAAAGAGCUCUUCAAAUGUUUAAGAAAACACCACCAGCAGAUCCUGUGGCUCCCAGGUGACUGUGAAGAUCUCUCUGGAAUAGGGUACUCUAAGCUACUUGGGGAGUUCCCAGAAGGGAUAAAUCCCUGUGUGUGCAUUCAUUGGGUGGUUAUCCCAACAAUGGGAGCCAUCCAGUCAGAACAGGUAGUAAAAGAAUGUGUCUCUGGACCUCAGCUGAAAUGAUCAAUGAUACCAUUUUGGACACAGAAGGCAUUCAGGUCAGCUUCAACUCACUGGCCAGAACUGCUAUGGAAAACAGUAUUGUCCUACAUAUCCCUCUCUCAAGACCAAAGUGAAACCUGUGCAGUCACUUCGACGUUGCUAUACCUGGAUUAAUGCCUCUGAAAAAGUGCAAAGGUCAGCACAGAUGCUUAAAGAGGAAGUCAUGUGUCCUAAAGUACAUACCUUUAUGUUUUGGGGGUUUCUUCAGCCUGCUUAGUCUGGGACCCUGGGGGUCAGGAUUGAGGUCAGUACUGCAGGCUGGCUCCAUCCUGCCACUUACAGAAUUGUUGACAGAAGCUUUAAUUAAAUGUUGCAUGAGACAAAUUGAACAAAUACAGGUCUACUCUCUACUGAUACAAUUAAUCAGAAUGGCCCACCCAGUGGCACUCUCAUGUGAAAAUUUGAUCUCGGCUAAGGCUGUGUAGGGCUAAGAGGUGGUUUUGGGGAGAGGCAGUCUGCCAGGGCUCUGAGCAUCCCUGCAUAUUCUUGCUGAGUGAGCCAAACUGGAAAGCUUACCCGUCUCCUGAUACUGAGCAGUUUUUCUAGCUUGUCACAUAAGCAAUUGAGUAGGCCAAGUCCACUAGAGUGUGACAGCCAUGUAACUGCAUGCUUUUCUGUGUAAGGGGAAUCUGUUUUUUGCCAUUUGCUAUAAUGUUUGCUGCUUGCUCAAAACAUGAUUUGGCCCUGGGUCCUUCAGUUGUGAAACAAACCCACUGCAUAUGGGCCCACUGCAUGGCCUCAAUGGGACUUGGGAGGCAAGGGGGACAGGCAAAUAUGUUGAUGUUCAUGCUUCUUGCUGUGCCAAGAAUAAUAAAGUUCUUUGUCUCUGACCCAGGCGUCUUGAGUCUUCUGCCAGAACUCAUGUGAUGGUGGCUGGCUCACUUGUUGGCUCGCAAGUAGGGGAAAAUCAAAUCUUAGGAUCUCUAAAGUUCCUGAGAGAAAUAACAUGAAUUCGGAAUGGGACAGAACUGUUUUCUAUUUAAGCAUCUCUUAAUCACCUUCCAAUUUUUUUUUUAAUAUAUCCUUUCAAUUAAUAAAAGGCACAUUACCUAGAAAACAGCUGGAGUAGGAUUUGAACUAGGCAAUAUGGAUGCAGAACAUGUUUUUAUUCUCCUAUACUUCUCUAUAUGCUGAUGUGGUUUAAAAGCAUUGGAACAUUUGCAUUUUAUUUAGUAAAUUUCCCAUGUCUCUUUUACGUGAUUCUGUUUGUAACACAUUAACCAACAAAUUUUUCAAAGCCCUAGUCUCUAAAUUGGUAAUCACUUUAAACGUGACAAAUCUUUAAUUUUCUUUAAUUUGUGUAUGAUACAUAAACAUUUUCAAAAUAAAUUGAUUGUAACAUGCCCAUGUUUCACACCAUCACUAUCAUUUGAAUAUAACAAGCAGUUACGAGGUUGAUUGAAUAUCAAUUAAAACAUAAUUUAAACCUAGUUAUAUCAUGGCCCUUUAGUUGAAAAAUUCCAGAAAUCUAGAUGCCAAGAAUUUACAAAGUAAAAAUAUAAUCUUAGUUACCUUGUUCCAAUUUGUAAUUCAUGGGAUGUGCCCACUUUGAAAUGAUCCCUGUACUACUAUUUACAAAUUAACCAAGAAAAGGAAAAGACAGAUUUUAAAUCAUUUCAACAUGUUACUCAAAUGUUUUCUGAAACAGAAAAAAAAAAAAAAAAAAGACUCACAGACACUCUAUGUAUGAGUACAGAAAAGUCACGUUCACCAGAUCUCUACUUCAUCUUAGUCCAAGGCUGUUCUGCUCCUCAAAUGUCUGCUCUGAUCCAGCCACUUACACCAUUCCAGCAAUGGAGCCACCUCAGGCUCAGGGCACCAAACACAAGAAGGAUAUCCUGCCCCGAAUUCCCAUCACUUCCUUUCAGCCCCUGCUUAGUCUGGUAGGACAGGAUUUUUACAGAAUACUGCACAUUCACCUCAAUUUUUAAAAUCAUUCACCAGUUAAAGACAAUUUUAAAUUUUAAUUCUUAUCCUCAUCUUGAAAAACUGAUUUGGCAAUGAGCUUUUGGGACAUAAUCCAUUUGUAACUUGGGGAUUUCCUAGAAUUUUACAUUAAAAUAUAGAAAAACUCAAACAAUGUAACAAUGGAAAAUUGAUAAUGUGUAAAUCCUUUAUAUUAUAGACUAUUAUGUACAAUGUUUAAUGAGGUUAGGAACAUGUCAAACAUUGGUAAAUAUUUCUCAAGUUGGGACUAUGGCUUCAAGUCAAAGUGACCCAGAUUUCAACUUCAAUGCUAUUACUUUUUAGUAUGUGGACAUGAAUAAAUUCCUUAACUCCCUUUGUUUUGGGUUAUUCAUCAAUAAAAUGGGGCUAACACCUUGUUUACAGGAUUGAAUGCUAUGUAAAUGGCAUCAUACCUGGCACUUGCCACAUCGGGUGAGGUGAAUCCUAGCUAUUAUUAUCUGAUGAGAGAUUCAGAAGAAAAUUAAUCAUGAGAAUAUGGGAGAAUAUGGUUUCUCCUUCAUUCUUACUCAUUUGACUACUUUGUAACAUUACCAUAAUGUGAAAUAUUUGCUAGACAAUUGGGAAACAACAUUUCUGCAAAUGUGGACAAUGGAAAAAAAAUUAAGAAAACUCUGUGUGACUCACAAGCAAAGCAAGUGACAUAGUAUCAGAAAUAGCUCUACAGUAAAUUCACUUGAUUAGAUUUUAACUACAUCUGGACUUUUCAGUUAAUUUGAAACCCUCAUAACUGUUUCUUUAGAGGUAUUUCACAAGCCUGUACCCCUGGAUGCAGUCUUUACUAAUCUUUUGUGCCCCAUGCUGUGCUGUGCUAUUUUUCAUGUGUUAACUUUCAUGGCGUCUGAAAAACUACCCUUUAGAGUAGGUUUUAUUUUUACUAUUUUAUAAAUAAAACCAAUGCUUAAAAAAAUUAAGCUAUCUUGAGAAAAAUCAUAGCUACUAAAAUUCUAGGCUUCCAGGUUUUGAAACAGCCCCUCCAAACCCUGAAAUAUUUCUUAGAAACAUAAAGGCUUUUAAAAAAUAAGCUUGAAUACCUUAAUAUAGAAUGCAUUUUAAUACUAAUUAGAUACUAUCACAACUCUUAGAUUUCAUAACCUUUCCUGCACUCUUUUUAAAUUUUUUCUUGUGUUCAAAAAUAAUAAAGUAGCAAUUUUCUGUAGCAGGAACACCAUUAUUAUUCACCUACAAUGUAAUCAACAUUAUUUACUCACUUUUUAUUACACUCCAGCUCAAAUUCAGUAUUAAUCUUGACUACAUUUCAUUUCCAUGUCACAACAUAUCUUUAUUUUUAUAGAUAGCUUGUUAAUGAGAUGUUUUAAUUAACGGUUUCAUUCUGAUUUCAAAUCUUUGACAAAGAAAACAAUGUCAGCUAACCCCACGUAUAAGUAUGUAUUUUAAUAGCCAGAAUUUAAAUCUUAGAUUUUUGGAAUUAGGAUUAGAGAGAUACAUAAUUUAGCUCAAACUGAAGGAUAAAAUCAUGAUUAGGAACAUGCAAUCUAGGACUUUCUUCGCCCUUCUUUGAAGCUAUUUGCUCAAAAACGCCACGUAGAUACACAACCGCUAAAACUGGCAAUAUUACCUGGAACAACAUUGGAGACACCAGAACCAAGGCGCAGAAGCCACCACUCUGCUGAAGUCCCUCACCCAAGCCACACUGAAUCAUGCCACCCCAGGUGAUGAUUCCUCUUUUGUCUCCAGCAGCACUUUCUAUAUCAUUGUAGACAACUGGGAGACAAGAAGACUAGAAACAGUACAACAGAGGAGCAGUUGUCAAAAAACAAAGAAACGACUCUUUAAAACCCUGGAAAUAUCAGAUGAUGGGUAAAUGGGUAGUAGGUUCUUUUAUCAAAGACACAUAUAAGCAGCUAUCCAUUAUUCCUGACUGAACAACUAUUACAGUCAAAUAGUCAGAACAGGAGAUGAUCCCAAAGGAGCAGCAUAUAGAUCUAAACUACAGGAAUACAUACGAAGAAAAUGGGGAUUAAAAAAGAAGAAGGAGAAAAUGGGGCUAAAGGCUUUUUGUUUUGGUUCUAUUGUGAUUCUAGGUCUAAUACAAAACGAGGAUGGGGGGGGGGCUAGAAAAACUGAGGGAGGUAAACACAAUUCCUUCCCGGUACCCAAAGCAAACAACUGAUGGAUGUGUUCUCUUUUAAAGUUGACUACA